UAUAGCCUUACAAUCCGGCGUAACUAUCUGCAGUGUAAACGUGAAGUGGUUUGAAAUUCGAAGUUGUUUAUUUUUCAGCCGUAUGUUUGUAUUUGACAGUUAAGAAGACAUUUUCCUCAAAAUGGCAGAUGCCGGGGAAAUUAUGAAAAUGUCCAAAUACGGUAUGAUCGCAUCUGGCCUUUGGCGUUUACCUCUGAACCAACCUACUGUCGUAAAAAAAAUGUACGUGUUGUAUUCGGUAUACGUCCACGUAGUUUUCACCCUGUUUCUUUUAUUGAUUAUGAUACAGUUUAUAAUUCUUUGCACAAAAAAUGAUCUUUCGAAGGAGCUAAGCGAUCAACGAUUCACGGUUUUCUCUUAUUUCAUUUCAACGCUAACUACUCAGGUCAAACUGCUGAUUUUCCAAAGCAACAAUGUCUGGCUUAUCAUCUCCUAUAUAAUGGACGAAGAAAAGAAAUUACUAGCCCAGGUCAACCUAGACAUUUUAAGUUAUCACCGUCGACAAGUUAGUUUCGAAAGAUGGAUUAAUACUGUUAUAUUUAGUUUAUCAGCCUUUCUCGGAUUGGCCACCGUCGUAGCAAAUGGUAUCCAGAGACACCAGAUCGAGAAGCACAACCGAUUUUACAAUGAUUCGCUACCCAAACCGACGCUAUUUCCUCUAUACUAUUGCAACAUUGACACCGAAAAACACAAUACAAUGUUGGCUAUUUCAAAUACGAUGUGGGUUAUCAUUAUCAUAGUAAUUUCAACACCCACACAGGGUUUUUACCUAGCUUGCAUAACGUUUGCAUCAUCUAUGCUAAAAGCACUACAGAUACGACUUUCAAAGACGGACGAAGAGAAAAACUUAGAUGAGACACUUGAAAUUUUGAUACGUGAACAUCAAAGAAUUAUUGCGAGUUUCAGAUUUGUUAAAAACUUAAACGAAACGGUCAAAUACUUAAUGAUGAUGGACUAUCUUCUUAACGCCGUGAAUAUCGCCGGGGUGGUGCUAAUUCUUCUAGAGGCCGCCGAUGGAAUCGAAGUUGCUUCUGCUCUUUUUUACGCCGGUCGGCUGGUCGUUAUCGUUUUUGCACUAGGUUGGACCUCCAACGAAAUUCGUAUACAGGGAACUUCCAGAGUCAAGCUUUAGCCGACGCCAUUUAUGAAACUCCGUGGUGGGAACAGCAAAAUAAAAUACAAAAAGUAUUGCAUAUAAUGAUCAUGCGAGGGCAGUGCCCAUUAGCGAUAACUAUCGGACCAUUUGACGAUAUGACGAUACAAUCAUCUCUGACCUGACGGAUGGCAUUCUAGAAUCGAUGCAGAAAAGUGUAAAGUUUUUGUAAACUUGUAGAAGAAUAGUUACUCCAAACCUCGAUCAUUCCUGUUAAUUGUAAAAAGUGGCGUCCACUUCAAUGAUUGGCACAUAACAGUUACACAAACUCAAAGUAUCAUCUAUUGUGAAGGUUCUCAUUUUUUAGAUAAUGAAGGCAGCUUAUUCGUACGGCACUAUUAUGUCGCAGAACUACCGAUAAUGCACUCAAUCCCCAAACUUUAUGUUAUACAUAUAUAUUGUUGUAAAUAAACUCAAUUUAAUUAUGUAGUUCUAUUCCUUCUACUUAACCUAUUGAUGCGACAACAUUUACUAGCUAACAAACUGUAAUAUGGCGGC